rnacentral:rRNA from 1 species
UACGGGAGGCAGCAGUGGGGAAUAUUGCACAAUGGGCGCAAGCCUGAUGCAGCCAUGCCGCGUGUAUGAAAAAGGCCUUCGGGUUGUAAAGUACUUUCAGUCGUGAGGAAGGUGUUAAGGUUAAUAACCUUAGCAAUUGACGUUAGCGACAGAAGAAGCACCGGCUAACUCCGUGCCAGCAGCCGCGGUAAUACGGAGGGUGCGAGCGUUAAUCGGAAUUACUGGGCGUAAAGGGCACGCAGGCGGUUAAUUAAGUUGGAUGUGAAAUCCCCGGGCUUAACCUGGGAAUGGCAUUCAAGACUGGUUAGCUAGAGUCUUGUAGAGGGGGGUAGAAUUCCGAUGUGUAGCGGUGAAAUGCGUAGAGAUGUGGAGGAAUACCGGUGGCGAAGGCGGCCCCUGGGACAAAGACUGACGCUCAUGUGCGAAAGCGUGGGGAGCAAACAGGGAUUAGAUACC